AUUGAACGCUGGCGGCAGGCCUAACACAUGCAAGUCGAGCGGGGUUUUCGGACCUAGCGGCGGACGGGUGAGUAAUGCGUAGGAAGCUGCCCGAUAGAGGGGGAUACCAGUUGGAAACGACUGUUAAUACCGCAUAAUGUCUACGGACCAAAGUGUGGGACCUUCGGGCCACAUGCUAUCGGAUGCGCCUACGUGGGAUUAGCUAGUUGGUGAGGUAAUGGCUCACCAAGGCGACGAUCUCUAGCUGGUUUGAGAGGAUGAUCAGCCACACUGGAACUGAGACACGGUACAGACUCCUACGGGAGGCAGCAGUGGGGAAUAUUGGACAAUGGGCGCAAGCCUGAUCCAGCCAGGCCGCGUGUGUGAAGAAGGCCUUCGGGUUGUAAAGCACUUUCAGCGAGGAGGAAGGGGUGUGUGUUAAUAGUACACACCUUUGACGUUACUCGCAGAAGAAGCACCGGCUAACUCUGUGCCAGCCGCCGCGGUAAGAC
rnacentral:rRNA from 1 species